AUAUCUCAUACCGUGUUGCAUAUAUGCGGUAUUGUUUCAAUGAUUCGAUGAAUAUAAUGUGUGGAUAGAUUAUAUCUUUUACCCAUAGUUACACAUCAACAAUCUCUCAAGAAUUUAGGAUCUCAAAAGAAAAAGAAAAAAGUUGCUCUUCAGAUAAAUGAUACACAUUGAUCAAUUUCCAUUGCUGAAGUAAUGUAAGUACUUGUUGAUGAAGAAAUUUGGAUUGGAUUACAACCUGAAGGACUUUAAAAUCUCUGCGAGGCUUUUGGGGUCAUCAAAAUAGAUGAAAUAUUUAAAGGGGAGGUAUUUCAUUGUCCAUGAAUAAUAAUAUUGAAGAUGCAACCCCCUGAAGUAGGGAUAAGAAAAACGUAUGAUGAUCGCGGAGCAUUUAUUGGAGGAGAGGGAGAAAGACUUGGAGACUAAGGUUGCAGAGAUGAUAUGAUUUGUGCAUAGAAUAAGGCGUUAAAGAAGAGGGUGAAGGCAUUGAACAAGGAAUUAAUUUAUUAUUUAUCU